CUCGUCUUGAAGGGCAGAAGAGAGGCAUCAUUUCCCCUGAGCAGGGUUUCAUGUUUCAUUGUGGGAAAUUUCUGCUGCAGAUUCCCCGAAGGGACGGCUCCCAAGGACUCAUCACCCAUCCCAUUUACCCAGUGAUUACUACAGGAGCUCACCAUGUCUGCCACUAGAGCCCCUCUGACCCAUUUUCUUGGUACUUGGUUGGUCCUCCAUCCUGCGGCUCUCGACCUCUGUCAGAUCUUUGCUUCACUGUUUCCUUGGUUAUCUGCCUCAUUCUGGAGACUCCAUGGGAGGGGCUGGAACAGUGGCUUGUCAUUUAUGGUCCUUAAAGUACCAGACCCGGUGGCCGGGCCGAGAAAGCCCUCAAUAUGUGAUGCUGACCGGACACAUUCAUGGUACAGCAAGGGAUAAAAAGCAGAGCACGGCCUCCAGGGAUGCGAAGGUGCCACGCUGGGCGGGUUUUCAACAGGAAGCUGGGAGUGAGAUGGAAGAGUGACCACCACGAAGUGAGGACGGAGGAGCCCCAGGGCACAGUCUCAGCUGGAGGAGAGUCAGAUAUUGGCGGCGGGCCUCUGAGGAGCGGAGAGACGGGCCUGGCAAGUCUGGGUGGGCAGCUUUGGUGGCCGCAGAGGCACAGGUGUCUCGGAGCUGGCUCCACAAAUCUGCUGCUGGCGCGGCGGGUCACGUUCACAGGUGAGCGUGGUUGGAGAUGAGAAGGAUCUGACCCAGACCUUGGCUUCCCGUCCUGCCCGAUCCCAGGGCAGCAGCUGCCCAGACCUGCGACUCGGGAGAGUCAGAGCCCAGUCCCUCUCCCUGCAAACUCAGUGGUCACGGGGAGGGCACCGCCUCUGCUCUAUGCCAGGUGUCUACGUCCACUCUGGAGCUGCUGUCCCUGCCGAGGCCAGUGUGAUAGGGCGGCUGGCCAGGCGUCUUUGAUGACUUCUCUCCCAGCGAGUGGAGGGCAGCCAAGGAGUGCGAACCCCACGGAAAGCGCCUGGCAUCUGCUGGCGUCCUGAGCCUGGAGCGCGCCGGCCAUGCCUGCGGCUCUCACUCGCUGGCUGUGUCACCUCUCUGUACCCCUGUCCUUCUUUGUCACAUGGUCUGAUCUGAUUGGAUGACUGUGAGGUUUAAGUGAGCCAAUACAUGCUGGAGGUUCUUUAGAGCAGGGUUUCUUUUACUUAGAAGGACAAAAAAGUAGGAAUACUCCCUAAGAAGAGGACCUGACCUCAGUAUCUUUGGGUGCCUGAUAAGGGGAGAUGUUGAAUGACGUCAAAGACUGGUGAACCACCCCCUGCCAAGCUGCAGAGCCUUGUGUCUGUGUCUCUGUGCAUAAAUAGCUUUCCCCUCAAGCACAAAGGCUACGAGCUAAGAUGCUCGAAGGGUCAUGACUCAAGAUUGGAUGCCUUGAGGGUUCAAGUGUCUUUAUUCCUGACCAGAGUUCCUCAGCCUCGGCACUAUUGACAUUUGGGGCCAGUGACUUUUUCACAGGAGUGGGGGAGGGGGCAUCCUGUGCAUGGUACCAAGGAUCAGCAGCGUCUGGAGCUCUGCCCCGGGAGAGGCUGGUUGUGACAACCAAAGAUGUCUCCAGAUGUUGCUAAAUGUCCUCUGGGAGGGGAGAGGGGGACCAACUGCCUCCAGGGGAGAACCCCUCUGUGUGUGCCGUGAGCCCACGGUGAGUGGCCAGCUGUGCGAAGUUCCUGUACCAAGGUUGCUUUUCUGAAUCUCAGUGUGGCUGCUACUUCCGUGAGCUGUCUGGAGGGUCCAGUGACAUCCUGACAGAGGGUUUUUCAAAGUUGAUGGGCCAUAGGCUUUCCAAACCUGGCCCUGUUUGAUAAAAAUUACUGCUUCCUUAACCUGGCUGGGCAGCUGGAUCAACUGGAACUGGACUUUUAUUGUAUUUCUCUUCACUUAAACCUAAAGGGUUUUGUAGAGCAUUAAAUGCAACAUAAAUCACUCAGCCAUUUAUUAUUAAAACCUAAACUACAAUGAAAAUUAAACAGUUCAUUCUGUGGA